rnacentral:precursor_RNA from 1 species
AAUAGAUGGCGCUGAAGCUAACCCAAUUAGUAAAUUGGUCAAGCGAGAUUUUUUGCGGUAUUUUAAAC